rnacentral:rRNA from 1 species
GACGAACGCUGGCGGCGCGCUUAACACAUGCAAGUCGAACGGAAAGGCCCUGCUUUUGUGGGGUGCUCGAGUGGCGAACGGGUGAGUAACACGUGAGUAACCUGCCCUUGACUUUGGGAUAACUUCAGGAAACUGGGGCUAAUACCGGAUAGGAGCUCCUGCUGCAUGGUGGGGGUUGGAAAGCUUCGGCGGUUGGGGAUGGACUCGCGGCUUAUCAGCUUGUUGGUGGGGUAGUGGCUUACCAAGGCUUUGACGGGUAGCCGGCCUGAGAGGGUGACCGGCCACAUUGGGACUGAGAUACGGCCCAGACUUCUACGGGAGGCAGCAGUGGGGAAUAUUGCACAAUGGGCGGAAGCCUGAUGCAGCAACGCCGCGUGCGGGAUGACGGCCUUCGGGUUGUAAACCGCUUUCGCCUGUGACGAAGCGUGAGUGACGGUAAUGGGUAAAGAAGCACCGGCUAACUACGUGCCAGCAGCCGCGGUGAUACGUAGGGUGCGAGCGUUGUCCGGGUUUAUUGGGCGUAAAGGGCUCGUAGGUGGUUGAUCGCGUCGGAAGUGUAAUCUUGGGGCUUAACCCUGAGCGUGCUUUCGAUACGGGUUGACUUGAGGAAGGUAGGGGAGAAUGGAAUUCCUGGUGGAGCGGUGGAAUGCGCAGAUAUCAGGAGGAACACCAGUGGCGAAGGCGGUUCUCUGGGCCUUUCCUGACGCUGAGGAGCGAAAGCGUGGGGAGCGAACAGGCUUAGAUACCCUGGUAGUCCACGCUGUAAACGGUGGGUACUAGGUGUGGGGUCCAUUCCACGGGUUCCGUGCCGUAGCUAACGCUUUAAGUACCCCGCCUGGGGAGUACGGCCGCAAGGCUAAAACUCAAAGGAAUUGACGGGGCCCCGCACAAGCGGCGGAGCAUGCGGAUUAAUUCGAUGCAACGCGUAGAACCUUACCUGGGUUUGACAUGGAUCGGGAGUGCUCAGAGAUGGGUGUGCCUCUUUUGGGGUCGGUUCACAGGUGGUGCAUGCCUGUCGUCAGCUCGUGUCGUGAGAUGUUGGGUUAAGUCCCGCAACGAGCGCAACCCUUGUUCACUGUUGCCAGCACGUUAUGGUGGGGACUCAGUGGAGACCGCCGGGGUCAACUCGGAGGAAGGUGGGGAUGACGUCAAGUCCUCAUGCCCCUUAUGUCCAGGGCUUCACGCAUGCUACAAUGGCUGGUACAGAGAGUGGCGAGCCUGUGAGGGUGAGCGAAUCUCGGAAAGCCGGUCUCAGUUCGGAUUGGGGUCUGCAACUCGACCUCAUGAAGUCGGAGUCGCUAGUAAUCGCAGAUCAGCAACGCUGCGGUGAAUACGUUCCCGGG